rnacentral:rRNA from 1 species
UCAAGCUACUAAGGGCAUACGGUGGAUGCCUUGGCGCCAUGAGCCGAUGAAGGACGCGAUAAGCUGCGAAAAGCCGCGGGGAACUGCAAAUGAGUAUAGAUCCGCGGAUGUCCGAAUGGGGAAACCCGGCAGCCGUNNAGGGAGGGAACCCGGUGAACUGAAACAUCUAAGUAGCCGGAGGAGAAGAAAUCAAACGAGAUGCCCCCAGUAGCGGCGAGCGAAGCGGGCAGAGCCUAAACCGUGCACCUUCGGGUGUGCGGGGUUGCGGACCGGCGGGAUCGAGCGAGUUGUUAGCGGAAGCUUCUGGAAAGGAGCGCGAGAGAGGGUAAAAGCCCCGUACGCGAAAACGACGAGCGCGAGGCCGGGAUCCAGAGUACCACGGGGCACGAGGAAUCCUGUGGGAAGCAGGGGGGACCACCCUCCAAGGCUAAAGACUCAAUGGCGACCGAUAGCGCAUAGUACCAUGAGGGAACGGUGAAAAGAACCCCGGGAGGGGAGUGAAAGAGAACCUGAAACCGUAUGUCUACAAGCAGUCGGAGCGAAAGCGACGGCGUGCCUAUUGAAGAAUGAGCCAACGAGUUGCGUGUGCNNGUGAUCUACGCAUGGCCAGACUGAAACGCAGGUAAAAUUGCGCGGAGGGUCGAACCGGGACAUGUUGAAAAAUGUUCGGAUGAGCUGUGCGUAGGGGUGAAAUUCCAAUCGAACGCAGAGAUAGCUGGUUCUCCUCGAAAUAGCUUUAGGGCUAGCCUCACGUAGUAAGCGCGGGCGGUAGAGCACUGAUCGGGCUAGGGGCCGUACUGGUUACCGAACCCUGUCAAACUCCGAAUGGCGGCGCUGCAGAGCGUGGGAGUCAGACUACGAGUGAUAAGAUCCGUGGUCAAAAGGGAAACAGCCCAGCCCAUCAGCUAAGGUCCCCAAUGCCGUACUAAGUGGAAAAGGAUGUGGGGUUUCCUAAACAACCAGGAUGUUGGCUCAGAAGCAGCCACCAUUUAAAGAGUGCGUAAUAGCUCACUGGUCGAGAGNNNNNNNNNNNNNNNNNNUGAGUAGCGAAAAGGGCGGUGAGAAUCCGCCCCACCGAAAGCAUAAGGAUUCCUGGGCAACGAUCGUCGUCCCAGGGUAAGUCGGGACCUAAUCCGAGGCAAGAGGCGUAGGAGAUGGACAUCCGGUUGAGAUUCCGGAACCGGCAGCGAUUGUUUGAGCGAGGGAGUGACACAGGAAGGCAGGCCCGCACGGGAAUGGAAGUCCGUGUGCAAGCGUGCGGCGUGGGGUACAGGCAAAUCCGUACCCUGUAAGCGCGAGGCGUGAUGCGNNGCCUACACUGUCGAGAAAAGCUUCUAGUGAGAGAGCUGCCGCCCGUACCGUAAACCGACACAGGUAUGCGGGGAGAGAAUCCUAAGGUGCGCGGGAGAACCCUCGUUAAGGAACUCGGCAAAAUGUACCCGUAACUUCGGGAUAAGGGUAGCCAUGUGAGGUGAAGGGACUAGCUCCCGGAGCUUUGUGUGGUCGCAGAGAAGAGGCCCAAGCGACUGUUUACCAAAAACUUAGGUGCCUGCCAAAGCGAAAGCUGACGUAUAGGUGCUGACACCUGCCCAGUGCCGGAAGGUUAAGGAAGGGGGUCAGGGAGCGAUCCUGAAGCCCUCGACCGAAGCCCCGGUGAACGGCGGCCGUAACUAUAACGGUCCUAAGGUAGCGAAAUUCCUUGUCGGGUAAGUUCCGACCCGCACGAAAGGUGUAACGAUUUGGGCGCUGUCUCAACGAGGGACCCGGUGAAAUUGAAAUACCUGUGAAGAUGCAGGUUACCCGCGACUGGACAGAAAGACCCCAUGGAGCUUUACUGUACCCUGGCAUUGGGUUCUGAUAUUGCACGCACAGGAUAGGUGGGAGGCACGGAAGUAUGGGCUUUGGCCUGUAUGGAGCCGCCGUUGGGAUACCACCCUUGCGGUAUCGGAAUUCUAACCGUACAUGUAACAAGUGUCGGGACCGUGUCAGGCGGGCAGUUUGACUGGGGCGGUCGCCUCCGAAAGUGUAACGGAGGCGCCCAAAGGUUCCCUCAGCGCGGCCGGAAAUCGCGCGCAGAGUGUAAAGGCAGAAGGGAGCUUGACUGCGAGUCAGACAAGACGAGCAGGUACGAAAGUAGGGCUUAGUGAUCCGGUGGCGCCUUGUGGAAGGGCCAUCGCUCAACGGAUAAAAGCUACCCUGGGGAUAACAGGCUGAUCUCUCCCAAGAGUCCAUAUCGACGGGGAGGUUUGGCACCUCGAUGUCGGCUCAUCACAUCCUGGGGCUGAAGUCGGUCCCAAGGGUUGGGCUGUUCGCCCAUUAAAGUGGUACGCGAGCUGGGUUCAGAACGUCGUGAGACAGUUCGGUCCCUAUCCAUCGCGGGCGCAAGAGAUUUGAGGGGAUCUGCUCCUAGUACGAGAGGACCGGAGUGGACGGACCGAUGGUGUACCAAUUAUGCCGCCAGGCGUAUCGUUGGGUAGCUACGUCCGGGUCGGAUAAACGCUGAAAGCAUCUAAGCGUGAAACCAACCCCAAGAUGAGAUCUCUCAUGACACA